rnacentral:miRNA from 1 species
ACCCUCACAAAGGCACUGACU